rnacentral:lncRNA from 1 species
AUGCGAUGGGCACAGCGAGGGGACGUUCCGAGAGCAGCCAGAAAGGGAAGCCAUUGCCACAAGAUGGACAAAGACCAUUAUGUCAUGCAGAGGAGCAUCACCCUCACUCCAGCUUGCCCUGGUUCCCCUCCCCAAGGCUUGUUAACUUGGACUUGUGCUGAGGCUGAACUGCAGGGAGAGGAAACCUUGCAUGGAGGCCAGCAUGAAUAUUCAUCUGCAAGGGGCAUAUUUCUAAGAAAACUCCAUCUGGCUUAUCUUGGUAACUUCCUGAAAUUCAAGAAGACUCGCAAGGCCGUAAAUGAUUAUACAAGCGUCAGCAGCCUUCAACCUCAUCCUGAUUUCGCAAGGCACAGUUUUGCAAAGCAUCGCAUCUACAUGUUGAGGCGAACAAAAGGUCUCUAUUUAUCACACUCGGAACUGCGGUAUAUUCUACUUGUAAUUCUAUGUGCACAUAAACUCACGUGGAAAACAAGAGACCGUAAGUAUCACUGGUUGAGUAGGUGUGACUGAAUGUAUGAGUGAGAUAUGACAAGAGUCACGGAGCGAAAGUGGACUCCUGACGAACCGCAGUUCCUAUAUCCCUUGAGGGGUUAGGUUGGUGAAAGGGGGAAGUGAUUUUGAAGAGGCUCAUUGCAAACUUAAAAUCCAAACUUUGGGAGAAGGAGUUUGGACAUCAGUUAUGGAGGGGGAGUUAAAUAGGAAAGAUACACUCCCAGGAACUCAGGAGACAGGUAAGUCUUUUAGUCUAGGACUGGGAGGUCCAGGGAAGAGAGGGAGAAAAUAAAAAGAGAGCAAAUUACA